AGUGAACGCUGGCGGUAGGCCUAACACAUGCAAGUCGAACGGCAGCACAGUAAGAGCUUGCUCUUACGGGUGGCGAGUGGCGGACGGGUGAGGAAUACAUCGGAAUCUACUUUUUCGUGGGGGAUAACGUAGGGAAACUUACGCUAAUACCGCAUACGACCUACUGGUGAAAGCAGGGGAUCUUCGGACCUUGCGCGAUUGAAUGAGCCGAUGUCGGAUUAGCUAGUUGGCGGGGUAAAGGCCCACCAAGGCGACGAUCCGUAGCUGGUCUGAGAGGAUGAUCAGCCACACUGGAACUGAGACACGGUCCAGACUCCUACGGGAGGCAGCAGUGGGGAAUAUUGGACAAUGGGCGCAAGCCUGAUCCAGCCAUACCGCGUGGGUGAAGAAGGCCUUCGGGUUGUAAAGCACUUUUGUUGGGAAAGAAAAGCAGCAGGUUAAUACCCCGCUGUUCUGACGGUACCCAAAGAAUAAGCACCGGCUAACUUCGUG
rnacentral:rRNA from 1 species